rnacentral:rRNA from 1 species
CGCGACCCCAGGUCAGGCGGGACUACCCGCUGAGUUUAAGCAUAUAA